ensembl:lncRNA
GAGAGAGAGGGGAAGCCUGGACUUGGACAACCACCCAUUUGUGGAUAAUAACCCUAAAAUAAAAAAUAAUAAUUAAAAAAAAGCAAAAAAAAAACCAAAAAACCCUUACCCCGGUGUGUGUCACAUCAAUGGAGAGGCGAGGGUCGAAUAUCCGAAAUAUACAGCGGGGGCGCAGAAGUGAUGACAGCCUUUGAUGAACCAUAACUCCCGUCCAGACAAGUUUUUGCGGAGGCAGCGGAAGAAGGGCUGUUCUUCGUCAGCGGAGAUCUUCCAGACCUUGGCAUUUCUCUGUAAAUAAGUCCAGCAUUUUGGUGGAUUGAAAGUUAAUAUGUGGAUGAUUAAAACCCCUUGGAUCUUGAC